CGCUUAUCGAACUAUCGGCCUACGCAACGUUUGAGGUUUUUUUUCUUUGGGACGUUCUCGCACAAAGCCUAAACUAGGGGCAUGUGUGAACGCAGCGGCGCGAAUAUCCUUGUCGAGCGGCAAUUUCUCCGAUGGCCGCUGAAGAAGGCUUGUCAGUACCCUCGGUGACGACAAAAGUGUAUCUCAGUUUUACUCAGCCAGCCGAGCCAGCCUAGGCGUCUUUGCUUCGAAUUCGAUGCCUGUUCAAGCUUGAAACUUAUUCAAGCAGCGACACAACUAGAUUCGGAACGUUGCGUUUCCAUCAAUCAGUCAAAUAGCCAGUUAAAUAACUGA